rnacentral:misc_RNA from 1 species
GAAUCUGUGGCAUUGUGGGUCAAGGUAACAGUGAAUGUAUUUUUCCUUUUCACUUCCAUGAACAUCUUCUCCCUUCAGCAUAUACAUUAUGUGGAUAGACGUACUUUAUUGAUUUUACAAAUGGCUUAUGUGUAGUGCAUACAAAUUUUCUUUCGAGGAUUAAGUAUGUGAAUUUCUUUGCUUUUGUCACACUAUCUUUUUGAAAGUUUUACUCCUUUUAUUAGUCAUCCAUAAAUGAAACAUUUAUAG